rnacentral:tRNA from 1 species
UAUAUUUUAGUAUAAGAUGUACAUAAAUUUUUGAAGUUUAAGGUGAUUAUUUAAUUUAUCAAAUAUAA